rnacentral:lncRNA from 1 species
CUUCUUUUCUUAGGGCUGCACCAGUGACAUAUGGAGCUUCCCAGGCCAGGGGUCUAAUCGGAGCUGUAGCUGCUGACCUACACCAAAGCUACAGCAAUGCCAAAUACAAGCUGCAUCUGUGAUCUACACCACAGCUCACGGCAAUGCCGGAUCCUUGACCCGCUGAGCAAGGCCUGGGAUGGAAGCCACAACCUCAUUGUUCCCAGUCGGAUUCCUUUCUGCUGCACCACGACAGGAACUCAUCAGGGCAUUUUUUGAGUACUGUUUAAAAAGCCUCCACAAAACUAUAUUUUUGACAUAAAAUUUAAACUUAGGCAAAUUAUUCCAUACCUCUUUAAAACAUGGCAUGUAAGUUUGGAGUUCUUUUUCUCUCAGUGUAGUGAUUCUUUUUUUCCAAUUUGGUUCAUAGAUCCUCUUGAGAAUGUAGUGAAAGUUAAGGGUCCUCUUAAGAGAAAAAUGCACCUACCCAUGGAACAGAACACAAUCUCACUGUGGUCCUAGGCUCCCUUGUCCCCUCAAGUCUCUCCAUGCAACCCCAGAUUGAAAACCCCAUAGUAAGCCAAAGAUAUAUUUAUUGCAGAAGACUCAAAUUUGAAUUUGAAAUUCAUGAAUUCCAAGUGGUUAUGGAGCUUGAUAAAUCAUCCUUUACCAUUGCUAAUAUCACAAAGGGAAAACUUUGAAUCGAUUUGAUUUCACAGGCCAUGUGUGAAUAUUGAUUUCAGUCCUGCCACAUAGCCUUCUGCAUGCUGAGUGAAGAGACUAUUCUGUCCUCAUUUCAAGGUGAGGCUCUUCUACUCCAGCAAUAAAUACUGAAAACAAGGCACAUAAGAUCCGACUGUCUCAAAUGCCAUCCCAGGCAGCUCCUUUAAGUGUCUAAAAGAUAAGAUAAAUAACAUUGAUACUUCUGCAUGUGGUUAUGUGUCCCUUCUUGCCACAGAAUUGAAACUAGAAACUACUUGAAGUUUCCAAAUCUAUGUCAAAAGCCAGAUGAUUAUGAAAGCCCACAAUGUUUGAGUCUUUAAGGGCAAAAAUCUUUAAUGUUUAGAUCCAAGUCAUAGUUUAUUUUAUGAAAGUGUAAAAUACAUUAAAAGUCUUGAACUAUUUUAAAAAAUGGAAUAUUUUUUUUCUGUUUAUAAUGUAUCAGCCUUGCAUCAGAUGUUUAUUUCAUUAACAUAUUUAUGGAACAUCUCCCUUAAACUGGUUUGUGUUCAGAUUGCCUAUGGCAGAUUAACUCAAUAUAAUGCUUAUUCUUUUAGUUACAUUUUUAGUUAUUCUUGUAUUGCAGACAUCAUUACAUAAUCCACCCAGAAUGUGCUUUAAAAUAUCUACAAAUCUAUUUAAAAAUAAGAAAAUGAUUUAAGAUGUUAUUAUGUCAGGUGGUUUGACUAAUUUUCAAUGAAGCAUAUUAUUCCUCUUCAAAGGUGUAUUGUUUUAGGGAUGUUAUAUUUCAAAACAUGUUAAAAAAUUAAUAGUUUAGUUAGAUUUUCUGUGAGAUUUUAAAGUUCUGAUUCUUGGUGUAUAAAAAUAAAAUGAGAAAACUGUCUUUCACAUUACCCUCUAUGGUAAUUACUAAGAAACAUUUCCAGGGAUGGAUGUAUAAUUUUUAAAAAGUUAUAUUGAAAAAGAAAACCCUGUAAAAACUCAAAAAUAGUUAUCAAUUUGACAUGGGUGUAGCAUUUAAAGUCCCAGAUUUUAGUAAUCCAAAGUUGUGUGUUCAAAAACAUUCCUUCAAGUAACAGAGACAAACUAUUCAAAUUUUACUUUUGAUAAGCAUCUGUUUGAGGUUUUUAAACUCAAAAAUUCAAAAUUAAAUUAUAUGGCACCAGAGGUAUAUAUACUAUUUAUUUCCAAAAAUGAAACAAAAGGAAAGUGUUUUUAAUGGUUAUCUUCUACUUCAGAAAUAUAAACUUCAAAUAUUACUACUUGAAACUUCAGAUAAUUGGUCUGCACACACUAUUUUCUUUAGACGAGACAUCUUUGCUUUGAAAAAAAAAAAAAACACAGUUCACUGAAAGCAUACCAUAUGUCAAUAAACAGCUAAAUACAUUACACAUAUAGUUUAAUUUAAUCCUCAGAACAACACCAUGUGGGAAAUGAUGUUGCCAUUUUAAAGAUGAAGAAGGUGAGGAUUAUAGAAGCUAGUACUUCCUAAGACUGGUGAAGCUGCAUCCUCUUAACUCCAAAUUCCGACCUCUUCCCCAUAUCCAUUAUAAACAACGUGGUAUUAAAUGUCUUUUCUAAUGCCACAACUUGUGAAAUGUUACAAAAAUAUUAAAAAAUUGAUAUUUUACUAUAUAAAGGCAUCCUACCACUGUGGUGACAAGUAGGGCUAUGGAGCAAGACUGUCUGGGGUUAGAUUCCUGACCAUAGACUCAGUGGUUUAAAUUCACCACUCAGGUCUUCAGUUCCUACAUCUGCAAAAUCAGCAUCAUCAACUAAUGCUAAUUUCACAGACUCAUGAUGGAAAUAAAAUGAAAUUCAUUCAACAAUAUGUGGAAAUUACUAAAAAGGGCCCUAAUAGAAAUCAUAUUUUUCUUGUCUUUUUGGGGCCUUACCCAUAGCACAUGGAGGUUCCCCAGGCUAGGGGUUCAAUCAGAGCUGUCUGCUGGCCUACACCACAGCCAUAGCAAUGCAGGAUCCAAGCCGUAUCUGAGACCUACACUACAGCUCACAGCAACACUGGAUCCUUAACCCGCUGAACGAACCCAGGGAGUGAACCCAUGUCCUCAAGGAUACUAGUCGGGUUCGUUAACCACUGAGCCAUGACGGGAACUCCCAGAAAUCAUAUUUUAUGUUUUUUCAUCUCUGCUUAAUGCACCUGAUCCUUGUUAUAGAAACUAAAUACACAGGUUGCCUUCUAUCACCCUCCAAGACAACCAACUCUAUAUAUUUUCUGGGCAUGAGCACUUAAUAUUGAAAAAUAUUCCAUUCUAUGAAAACCCAGCCAAAGUCUAACAUAGCAA